AUACGGAGGGACCAAGCGUUGUUCGGAAUCACUGGGCGUAAAGCGCGUGUAGGCGGUCUGGAUAGUCGGGUGUGAAAGCCCGGGGCUCAACCCCGGAACUGCAUUCGAAACUUCCAGACUGGAGUCCCGGAGAGGAUGGCGGAAUUCCCGGUGUAGAGGUGAAAUUCGUAGAUAUCGGGAGGAACACCAGUGGCGAAGGCGGCCAUCUGGACGGUGACUGACGCUGAGACGCGAAAGCGUGGGGAGCAAACAGGAUUAGAUACCCGAGUAGUCC
rnacentral:rRNA from 1 species